GUUAUUGUAGCUUAUUUGUAAAGCGCAGCACUGAAGAUGCUGAGAUGAGGAACAAGAAAACCUCCACAAACA
rnacentral:tRNA from 1 species